rnacentral:tRNA from 1 species
GGCGGAAUUGGUAGACGCUACGGACUUAAAUAAUU